rnacentral:lncRNA from 1 species
UUUCAUUUAGUUAUCUUAGCAAAUAAAAAAAUUAUAAUUUUUUUUCAAUACUAAUGUCAUUAAGUGACAAUAUAAAGAAGUAGCGGUCAAAUUUAAAUCUUUUAAAUAUCAUUAAAAUGAUUAAUUUAGUAAAAUAAAUUCAUAAUAAAUACUUUUUUUUCAUGAGAAUAACAAAUCAACGGAAGAGUAAUUCCUAUAUUGGACAAAAAAUAGUUGUGAAAGAAGUAAAAGGGGGACGGGUGUGGUGGGGAAUAAUAAUUUGUUAUGAUUGCAAAUGGUUCAACUUUAAGAAAGUGCAAGCUGUACAUGAUUGAUCCAUUUAAGCUUUUAACAAAUAAAGUAUACAAAAAGUAGUCAUGAAUGUUAUGCUGCUAAGUGCUAACUCAUUGCAAGAAAUUAAGUAACUGUGAAACAAUUAAUAGUGCUAGACAGAGGCGGAUCCACCUGUUUUGGUGUGAACGUGCAUUCGUCAAUUUCGAAAAUAAUCAUGUAUUUUUUUACUAAUAAAAAUCAUGUACUUAUAUGUAUAUUUAUCUUGAAAAAUUGAUAGAAACUAAAUAUAAUUAACAGUGUCCCUAUAGAAAACAUGAAAUGGUGUUUUUUUACUGCUGGUACAAGCUGAAAGAUCCACCCAUGCGAUCGGAUUCUAUCUAAGGUAGAACCUCUUCUUUUAGCUUAAUAUUAAUCUAUUCGGAAUUUUUAAAUCCUAGAUUCACCAUCUAGACAUUACAAUCUGUUGUGAUUGCUAGGUUGGAAAUGGUUCAACGUUAACAAAGUGUACAAUAUUCUAACCAAGCAUAGCUAAAAAAUACGAGGAUUUAUAAAAAUAAAUAAAGACUCUUAAAAACCUAACACCAGUGGCGGCCAUCAUGACCAAAACCACCGCCGGUGGGAUUUUUCCAUCGGAGGAAUUUCCACCUCUCCCCAUACACGACAAACCUGGAGCACAACCAACCCUUCUAGAACCAAAACCUACCCAAUAUGCAAAAAUCCUUAACCCAAAACCCACUACUCCCCUGAUUCCUAAAGUUUCCCCUAAACCAGUAAUAAUUAUUCAUGGAGAACCCAGCAUUACGUGGAAAACAUCGGAAGUCAAAUCACUCAUUGCCCAGGAGAAUCUGCAGUAUGCCAUUAUUGGCAAAUUUUCAUAUGGCAAACCGGAGAUACAAGAAUUAAGGAGAUCGAUACCAGGACAAUGUGGAAUCAAAAGUGAAUGUACAAUAGGAGUUCUAGACACGAGGCACAUUCUAAUAAGACUUACUACGAUGGAGGAUUAUGUGCAGCUAUUAUCAACAGCGGCAUUCUAUAUUAAGGCGAAAGAAAACUAUUGGCAGAUGAGAACGCUUAAAUGGGAUACAUGGUUUGAACCGGAGGUCGAAACUACCAUUGGUGUAGCAUGGAUUUCUUUCCCAGAUCUUCCACCAAACUUCUUUGCCAAGGAAGCAAUCUUCUCGAUAGCAAGUGCAGUUGGAAAACCUCUUACUGUGGAUAUGGCGACAAAGAAUCAAACCAGGCCAAGCUGCGCCAGAGUCAAAAUUGAAGUGGAUCUGACGGCAAGGCUUCCCCAACGAGUGAAAAUAAAUGAGGAAGAUGAUAUCACGGGACAUAUCAAAAGCAAGUGGAUUAAGAUUCAAUAUGACUAUUUACCAAAGUACUGUAAUGAGUGUUGCCUACAAGGGCAUGAUGAACACAAUUGUUGGGCACUACACCCAGAAUUGUAGGAUGUAGGGGAUAAAGUUGAUGGGCAGGAGAAGGAAACAGAGAAACUGGGUACAACAGCUGAGCAAAGACGAAUACUAGCAAGUGGAAGGGUUGUUGGGAACAAACAAAAUAAACAAGAAUGGAUGGUAAGCAGAAGAAAUAAGUAUAAGAGAGAUAAAACGGGGCGCAUUGAAGGAGAAAUAUACUAUCAUGAUGGAAAUACCUUUGACGCACUAAGAGAGGAUGAUGAGACUGAUCCAGCAGACAAACUGGACAAAAUGAUUGAAGAAGGCACAAAAGAAUGGGUUAAUAAAACCUUUACAGAAAGUAGGAAUACAUGUGAUCAACAAGCAAAUGAAAAGCAAUGUGAAGAAAAGGCAGGGAAAUCUAUUGAGCAGAAGGAGAAUGACGUGGAGAGUGGACUAACACAAAGCCUGGAUCACGAACAAUAUGGCAAUCAAGGGGAGGGAAUAGAAUUGAAAGGUGCAGAAGAUUCAGAGCAAAAUAAAGGGACAAUAGUAGUUUAUGAAAUGAAGAAUGAAGAAGUUCUACCUCUAGCCUUUCAUGAUAAUCACAGUGGUGGUGAGGAACAUGGGACCAAUCAGGAUAAGGGAGAAUUAAUGACGAUCAUUAAUAAGGUUGCAAUAGAAGGGGACUUAUCGCCUAAGCAUGUAGGCAAACUAAAGGAUACACAUACUAGACAGAAAAAUCACAGUGCUAAAGAUACGGUAGGGGUGCAGGCCUCAUCCAGGCAAUCAAAGAGAGUGAUUAUAAAAAACUCUAAGUAUCAAUGAGAGCUCUAAUAUGGAAUAUUAGGUCGGUAAAUACUCAAAAGGCGUUUACUAGGCUUAUUCAGAUGCAUAAGAGACAUCAAUACUACUUUGUGGGAUUAAUGGAACCGUUUGAAGAUAGACAAGAUCUGGAUGACUAUAGGAGGAGAUUAGGAAUGCAAUAUGCAGUGGCAAACUCUAAUGGGAAGAUUUGGUUUUUCAUAGACGGGGCCAUGGAAUAUGAGUUUUUAUGCGUGAUGAAGAACAAAUGCUAACUAUAAAAAUGAGUAAUACAGUAAUGGGUACAGAUGUAAUGGUCUCGAUGGUAUAUGCCAAGUGUAGUCAAGGGGAGAGGUUAAGUCUAUGGGAAUCAAUUGCUGAUUUAGCUAAUACAGUAAAUAUUCCUUGGGUAAUAGGAGGGGAUUUCAAUGUUAUUUGCAAUGAAAGUGAGAAAUUUGGGGGUCGAACAGUCACGGAGGAGGAGGUAAGGGAUUUCAAUCACUGCUUGAAUGUUUGUAAUCUGGAGGAUAGAGGUUUCAAAGGAGGCAAAUAUACUUGGUGGAAUGGCAGAACUAACGAGGAGUGUAUUUUCAAAAGAUUGGAUAGAGUACUCACUAAUGAUAAAGUACAAGAUAUCUUUCCAGUCCUAGAAGUAGAGAACAUGGUGAGAAGUGGAUCAGAUCAUGCACCCCUAUCAGUAACUUUCAAAUCCAGCAGGGAGAAGGUGAUCAAACCUUUUAGGUUCUUAAACUUUCGGGUAAAGGAGAGAUCUUUCAUGGAAGUGGUGAAGAAUAAUUGGAAGGCGGAUUUCGAAGGUGAUCCUUUUAUCUUGUUUCACCAUAAGCUUAAAAGAGUCAAAGAGGCCUUAACGCAGUGGAGUAAGGAAACAUUUGGCAAUAUAUUUCAAGAAAUUGUCACUCUUGAGGAAAUCAUAAAGGUCAAGGAGACUCAAUUUGAAAGGUUCCCUGUUGACACCCAAUUUUGACCCUCCACAAUAUAAAUUAAUCAUUUUGAGCUUCUCCAAUUUCAAACGAUUUAAAAUAAUUAGUUUUAUAAAAUUUCCAUAAAAUAAUAAUAUAGUUUGCAAGAUUUUUAAUAGUUGUCACUUUUCAUAAUUUUUAGAUAAUAUAUAUGUUUUACACAAUUAUGUAUAUAAUUAGUAUAUUUUAUGAUUAUUCAAAAAUCAUCUCUAAAAGAUUUUUUAUUUUUAAAUAUUUUUAUUUGUGAUGGUUGUUAUUUUGAAUUAAUGAGUCCUAUGAAAUUCAAAAUACUUUGAAGUUGUUUUAGAGUAAUUUUAUCAUUUUUAAUAAUUUUAAAUAAUAAAUAUGUUUUCACAAUCACGGUGUUUUAUAAAUAUUUGAAAAUCAUCACAAAGAUUUUAUAUUUUAGUUAAAUAUUUUAUUAAUUUACUUUAAGUUAUAGUUAUAAUUUCGAGUUAAUUAGUUUUGUAAUUGAAUUAAUUAGUUUAUAAUUAAGUUAAUUAUUUUUUACUUCGUUAAGAUUAAGAAGCUCAUUAAUUAAUUUAUGUUAACUCAUCUUGUUUAAAUUUUAGCCGAAAUUCGCCGAUUAAAUUCAAUUUGGCUACAAUUUAAAUUCAUUUGGCUAUUGUGUAAUUGCAAUGCUAGCCACUUUCUCACCUUAUUCUUAAUUCAUUGUUGAGAUCUGAAAUUGGGCCAUUUACUUGCCAUAUUUCAGCAGCCCACUUCAAUGUUCCAAGCCCAUUUUUUCAAUUCCCAACCAAUUUCCAACCCAUCAAAUAAAUACCCAAUUAAAUUCCAUUUUCAGCUUUCUAAUAAGCCCAACCAUACCUAUAAACCCAAGCCCACAACAAUACAAUACAUAUAACAACAAUUCCCAAAAGACCCAGAAAACAAUACACACAGCAGUACCAAAACGACCCCACUGCCCUGUGCGUCUCCUUCUUCACGCAAGCAGAGAAUUUCCAGAAAAUCCCAACAAAUCCGGCGAGAAAUCUGUGUAAAUAAGCAGAUCCUUCACACCAGCCGCGUCUCUUUUUUCCACAAUUUCAGAAUUUCCCAUCCCUUCUAUUGUUGACUUGAAAGGAUAAAGCAAAGAAUUCAAAUUUCAAAAUUAAAAUUUUUUCAAUCCGUUUUCCCCCCUCAGAUCAGCUUUUUCCUCAUCUAUUUAAGAUCGUUUUUUUUAACGAGAAAAGGGGGAGAGAAAAAAAAUUUUCCGGAACAAUUGACUUUUACGUUUGAGAAAUUUUGAAUGCAUUGUUAGUUCUAGGUUCUAAAAGGGUCUUCGACUAAGAUUGGUUUGGAUAUUUUGAUUCUAUUGCUCGAGGUUUGAAGUCGGUGUUGAAGUUGUUCUUAAGCUCGUCUUGAUCCCAGUUCGCUGCCCCCGAAAAGGUAACCUUCCAUUUCAGAUUUCAAUUUCUUUUAUCAUAAAUUGAUGGUUGCUUAGUUUCAUGAUUUGGAGUAAUGAUCUUUCCGUUCAAAUUGAUGUUAUGGCUAUUUGAUUUCGUUUUCGUCUUAAAUAUGAUUGUUUUCAUUUAGUUACGAGGUUUGGUUUCUUCCUGUUAGCCCCUCUCUAUUUCUAAUGUUAAUUUUGUUCUGUUUCCUGCUGGAUUUCUGAAAUGUUGUUGCUCUAGGCCAUGGUUUCGGCUUCCUGUUUGAUUUUUCUCAUAUUCAUAGCAUGUUUUAAUAUUUGGGAAUUUGUCAAAGAGUGUUCCUAUCUAUAUUUAACUUUUCGGAAUGUCGAAAUGAUAGUUACCAUGAAAGUUUAAAAAUACUUAAUCUCGGAGGAAAGGCCGACCCCCAGUAGCGUUACUAUUAACUAAUAUUUUAUUUGGAGUAUAACUUCAUGAUCUUUAUACUUGAGUCACCUCAAGCUUAGGUAAUUUCUUGAAACCUAUGUCUUGCAUUUUUAUUUUUAUUUUUGAAAUUUUUAUUUUUGAAAUUCUCAAGUGUUGGUACAUUUCUUCAUACUUAAAAUUUGCAAAAGUUGUUUAAACUAGUUAUAAUGAAUUCGUAUGCAAUUAUGAAAUGAUUAACAUCCCUCUGUUUCAACUCUUAAUAUGGCUAAUCAUGAUUUGUUUUGUUAGUUUAUCAAAUUAAGGUUAUAAAAUAAUAAUAAUAAUAGAGGUAUCAUGUUUAAGGCAUUAGUUUCAUUUUAGAUAAUUACGUAUGCUUUUUAAUGUUGUACGGUAAUCUAUGGGAGACUUAAGCAAAUCAUUUAGUGAUUAUUUUCAUUAAAAUCGUGAUUGUAUCUUUGAAUAAUCUCUAGCUAAUCUUUAUCUUUUAAUUUGCAUGAACUUCCCUCAUCCGAGUCUAUUUGAGACUCUACUGCAUUAUCCAGUCGGGUCAGAACCCAAUAUCUCGAUCUUUCUCUUGGUCAACCUUGAUUGCGUUCGAAUUGGAAGAAAAUACAUUUCUUAAGAAGCAAAAAACGCAGGGAGAAGGCUGAUAUACACUAGUAUACAGAUAUUGUAUACAUGGUAUACAUGUCAAAACGCAAUAAAUGCAGGGCCAAAAAUUGAAACAGGUGUUUGGAAAGCUGAAUUAGGGUGUAUACAUUGAUAUACAAGAAAAACAAGUACAUAUACACACCGAUAUACACUGAUAUACAUCAGGUGUAUACAAAAAAAAGGGAAUUGGGUUAAGCCCAAUAGUGGCAGCGAAUUUGGCCCAAAAGGGCCCAAAUUCAUUUCUCCUUACUUUUAAAUUAUUUAAUUGUCUUUAUUUAUUGUUCAUUUUUAUUAUCAUUAACUCUAACUUUAGAAUUGUUAAUUAACUUGAUUAAAUUCCUUAAAGGAUGAGUUAUUUUCUUUGUGUUGGUUUAAUUUUAAUACAUUUCAUGUUUU